rnacentral:tRNA from 1 species
GCAGUGGUGGUUCAGUGGUAGAACUGUCGCCUUCCAUGUGGGAGGCCUGGUUUCGAUUCUCAGACAAUGCA